rnacentral:rRNA from 1 species
GUGGGGAAUAUUGGACAAUGGGCGAAAGCCUGAUCCAGCAAUGCCGCGUGAGUGAUGAAGGCCUUAGGGUUGUAAAGCUCUUUUACCCGGGAUGAUAAUGACAGUACCGGGAGAAUAAGCUCCGGCUAACUCCGUGCCAGCAGCCGCGGUAAUACGGAGGGAGCUAGCGUUGUUCGGAAUUACUGGGCGUAAAGCGCACGUAGGCGGCUUUGUAAGUUAGAGGUGAAAGCCUGGAGCUUAACUCCAGAACUGCCUUUAAGACUGCAUCGCUUGAAUCCAGGAGAGGUGAGUGGAAUUCCGAGUGUAGAGGUGAAAUUCGUAGAUAUUCGGAAGAACACCAGUGGCGAAGGCGACUCACUGGCCCGUUACUGACGCUGAGGCGCGAAAGCGUGGGGAGCAAACAGGAUUAGAAACCCCGGUAGUCC